UACGGAGGGUGCAAGCGUUAUCCGGAUUUACUGGGUUUAAAGGGUGCGCAGGCGGAUAUGUAAGUCAGUGGUGAAAUCUUCCCGCUUAACGGGAAAACUGCCAUUGAUACUAUAUAUCUUGAAUGCUGUGGAGGUAAGCAGAAUAUGUCAUGUAGCGGUGAAAUGCUUAGAGAUGACAUAGAAUACCUAUUGCGAAGGCAGCUUACUACGCAGAUAUUGACGCUCAUGCACGAAAAGCGUGGGGAUCAAACAGG
rnacentral:rRNA from 1 species